GAUGAACGCUAGCUAUAGGCUUAACACAUGCAAGUCGAGGGACCGGCGCACGGGUGAGUAACGCGUAUCCAACCUGCCCAUAACUAAGGGCUAACCCAGCGAAAGUUGGACUACUCCCUUAUGGUUAUGGCUGGGGAUGUGUCUGAUUAGCUUGGUGGCGGGGUAACGGCCCACCAAGGCAACGAUCAGUAGGGGUUCUGAGAGGAAGGUCCCCCACAGUGGAACUGAGACACGGUCCAAACUCCGACGGGAGGCAGGAGGGAGGAAUAUUGGUCAAUGGACGCAAGUCUGAACCAGCCAAGUAGCGGGGAGGAGGACGGCCUAUGGGUUGUAAACUGCUUGUAUAUGGGGAUAGGUACCAUAUGAAUAAGGACCGGCUAAUUCCGUGCCAGCAGCCGCGGUAAUAC
rnacentral:rRNA from 1 species